GGUCCCCUAGUGCAAAGUGCGUGUGGAAAUGUCGCAUUGCUGACCUUCCAGGACACUUUCUGAGAAGCUCAGUGAGCGUGAGAUGAAGGACAAAUGAGGCUGGCCAGCCAGGGCCACCCUGCUCUGACUCCUGGGCCUUGCAAGGAGUCUCCAAAUAUUGCUCAUUGUUAUAAACCUGGGGACAUUGGUGGUGAUAGUCAGGUUGAGCAAAGAAAAGCACCUGUUGUCACAGUCAAGGAAAGAGGGACCUGAUUUCAGACCAGAUGCACGUGCCUCAAUCCCAUGACCUCUUGCAUCCCCACAGGGGUCUUUCAGAUUGAAAGGUUAAUAAAAUAGGUACUUGUCA